rnacentral:lncRNA from 1 species
GCUUCUGAAUGGUGAAGAGGAGGAGGAAGAAUUCCUGAGAGGGAAAGGCCAGCUUAGAGUCAAACACACUCAGAACAAAGGGAAGGAGAGAAUUGGCUCUUGAGAAACAGCGCUAAGAAUGGCAGCAGAAUGCUCCGUCACUAUAUGCAGAAACAAGACAACUUGAAGCUAAAUGGAAGCCCUGCAGAGUCAACAGGUCCAGAUUCACAGUGCACGCCCUGAGCUACAGCCCCUCCAAAAGGCAUCUUCCCCCAGAGCCUCAAUGCCAAGCAAGGAGCCGUCAAGAGUCUGCCUUGGUUGUUUUGUUCUUUUUACAAACCGUACAGAUAUACAAUUGAUAACUCAGGAUUUCUAGUCAAUAACCAGAUAGUUAACACCACCUUAUUAAAAAAAAAAAAGCCAGAAACAUCUUUAAAUGCCUUGUCACUCCAAUAGCAAAGCGCACAGAAUGAGAACACAAGAGUGCCUUUUCAUUUUAAAAAUGUUUGGAAAUAUGUACAACUUUGAUAGCAUUUCAGAGUGCACCAGACACCACUGCCGCUUCAUGUAUACCACUGACAAUUUCUAGAGCACUUUGAGAGGCUACAAUA